GCACGUUUCUGAUCGUAAUCACUUGGCUGUGGGAGGAGAGGAAUUCGAGUCGCAGGCUGUGAGCCCCGGGGGGCAGCUGGCAGAUGUCUACCAAGGAUGGUGGAAUGGGGAACUCCAAAAGUCUCUUUCUCCAUAGAAGCAGAGAAUAAAUUGGCAAAAACAGAAUCGACUUUAUUGGAACUCUAGAAAAUAGAAGUUUACAGCAACUAAGUAAAUGGUCAGUAAAAAAACAAAACAACAAUAAAGAAAAAUGGCUGAAUCUUGAAAA